rnacentral:rRNA from 1 species
UACGUAGGGGGCAAGCGUUGCUCGGAAUCAUUGGGCGUAAAGCGUACGUCGGCGGUUGCUUAAGGCGGAUGUGAAAGCCCUCGGCUUAACUGAGGAAGUGCAUCCGAAACUGAGCAGCUAGAGUACGAAAGAGGGUCGCGGAAUUCCCGGUGUAGAGGUGAAAUUCGUAGAUAUCGGGAGGAACACCGGUGGCGAAGGCGGCGACCUGGGUCGAGACUGACGCUGAGGCGCGAAAGCGUGGGGAGCGAACAGG